rnacentral:rRNA from 1 species
UGCUGAGGAUACGGUUAACGGAGCGAAAGCGACGUUCAACCGCAAAACAAGCAGAGGGGGCUUAGUGGUGGGGUGACUGCGUACCUUUUGUAUAAUGGGUCAGCGACUUAUAUUCUGUAGCAAGGUUAACCGAAUAGGGGAGCCGGAGGGAAACCGAGUCUUAAUUGGGCGUUAAGUUGCAGGGUAUAGACCCGAAACCCGGUGAUCUAGCCAUGGGCAGGUUGAAGGUUGGGUAACACUAACUGGAGGACCGAACCGACUAAUGUUGAAAAAUUAGCGGAUGACCUGUGGCUGGGGGUGAAAGGCCAAUCAAACCGGGAGAUAGCUGGUUCUCCCCGAAAGCUAUUUAGGUAGCGCCUCGUGAAUUCAUCUCCGGGGGUAGAGCACUGUUUCGGCUAGGGGGCCAUCCCGGCUUACCAACCCGAUGCAAACUGCGAAUACCGGAGAAUGUUAUCACGGGAGACACACGGCGGGUGCUAACGUCCGUCGUGAAGAGGGAAACAACCCAGACCGCCAGCUAAGGUCCCAAAGUCAUGGUUAAGUGGGAAACGAUGUGGGAAGGCCCAGACAGCCAGGAUGUUGGCUUAGAAGCAGCCAUCAUUUAAAGAAAGCGUAAUAGCUCACUGGUCGAGUCGGCCUGCGCGGAAGAUGUAACGGGGCUAAACCAU